UACGUAGGGGGCAAGCGUUGUCCGGAUUUAUUGGGCGUAAAGAGCGUGUAGGCGGCUAGGUAGGUCCGCUGUGAAAACUUGAGGCUCAACCUCAAGAGGUCGGUGGAAACCAUCUGGCUAGAGUCCGGAAGAGGAGAGUGGAAUUCCCGGUGUAGCGGUGAAAUGCGCAGAUAUCGGGAAGAACACCCGUGGCGAAGGCGGCUCUCUGGGACGGUACUGACGCUGAGACGCGAAAGCGUGGGGAGCGAACAGG
rnacentral:rRNA from 1 species